GAAAACUAAGCCAUAAAGUCCUGCUGGCUUGGAUACGGUUCACCGCACAGAGAAGGGAGGAGAGAAAAAGAAACGCUAUCGCUGUCAACUUUCACAAUGCUCAUUGUUUAGGUCAGGCCUGGCUUGAGUGGAAGAAUCAGCACACACUUGUACAAGAAAGAGCAGAAAUGGAAGCGACAGCGCUGCAAUUCUGGGCUUACCGCCUCCAAACACAGUUCUGGCUUAUCUGGCGUAGAAAGUUAGACGUGCUGCAGGAGAGAGAGGCUAAAUUGAACCUGGCCGUGAGGUUUCACAAAUAUACCCUGAAGAAGAAGAUACUCAUGGCCUGGGUGAAAUACUGGUUGGGAAGGAAACAGAUACAGCAAGA